ACUCCUACGGGAGGCAGCGGUGGGGAAUAUUGGACAAUGGGCCACAAGCCUGAUCCAGCAAUUCUGUGUGCACGAUGAAGGUCUUCGGAUUGUAAAGUGCUUUCAGUAGGGAAGAAUAAAUGACGGUACCUACAGAAGAAGCGACGGCUAAAUAUGUGCCAGCAGCCGCGGUAAUAC
rnacentral:rRNA from 1 species